rnacentral:rRNA from 1 species
UAAAAUAAUUAAGGGCACACAAAGGAUGCCUAGGUAGUAAGAGCCGAUGAAGGACGUGGUAAGCUGCGAUAAGCCUAGAUAAGUUGCAAUCGAACGUAAGAGUCUAGGAUUUCCGAAUGGAGCAAUCUAUUAAGAUGGAGUCUUAAUACGAAAGAGGGAACCGCGUGAACUGAAACAUCUAAGUAACGCGAGGAAAAGAAAGUAAAAACGAUACCCAAAGUAGCGGCGAGCGAAAUGGGUCAAGCCUAAACCUUAAAUAUGUCAAGGAUACAGCCGUUGUAUUUAGGGGGUUGAGGGACAGAGUAGUGAAGAACUGUAAGAUAUUCAAUAUAGUGUAUUGAUGAAUUGGAAUUGUCUGGAAAGGCGAACCGUAGAAGGUGAAAGUCCUGUACAAGUAAAUCCUUACACAUAUAACUCUGCUCCCAAGUAACAUGGAACACGAGGAAUUCUGUGUGAAUCUGUGAGGACCAUAUCUCAUAAGGCUAAAUACUCUUACUAACCGAUAGCGCAUAGUACCGUGAGGGAAAGGUGAAAAGAACCCCUGGAGGGGAGUGAAAUAGAACCUGAAAUUGUGUGCUUACAAGCGGUCAGAGCCAGUAAUGGUGAUGGCGUGCCUUUUGGAGAAUGAUCCUGCGAGUUACGUUAAACGGCGAGGUUAAGUAUAACGGAGCCGAAGGGAAACCAAGUCUUAAUAGGGCGAUUUAGUCGUUUGGCGUAGACGCGAAACCUGGUGAUCUAAACCUGUCCAGGAUGAAGCUGUGGUAAGACACAGUGGAGGUCCUAACCCACCGCCGUUGAAAAGUUGGGGGAUGAGGUAGGUUUAGGGGUGAAAAGCCAAUCGAACCAGGAGAUAGCUCGUUCUCUCCGAAAUGUAUCUAGGUACAGCCUUGAGUGUUCAAUUAUGGGGGUAGAGCACUGAAUGAUCUAGGGGGCGUAUUGCUUACUGAAAUCAAUCAAACUCCGAAUACCAUAAUUUAUAGCUCAGGAGUGAGACUAUGGGAGUUAACUUCCAUUGUCGAAAGGGAAACAACCCAGACCACCAGCUAAGGUCCCUAAUUAUAACUAAGUGGGAAAGGAGGUGGAGAUUCACAAACAACUAGGAGGUUGGCUUAGAAGCAGCCAUACCUUUAAAGAGUGCGUAAUAGCUCACUAGUCGAGAGUCUCUGCGCCGACAAUGUAACGGGGCUAAGUUAUAAACCGAAGCUGUGGAAUCCGUAAGGAUUGGUAGGAGAGCGUUCUGUAGGCCGUUGAAGGAGAAGGGUAACCGACUCUGGAGGUAUCAGAAGUGAGAAUGCAGGAAUAAGUAGCGAGAAAGGGGGCGAGAAUCCCCCUCGCCGGAAGACCAAGGUUUUCAGGGUAAAGCUUGUCUUCCCUGAGUAAGCCGGGACCUAAGCCCAGGCUAUAAUGCGUAGGCGAAUGGAAAACAGAUUAAUAUUUCUGUGCCAGUCAUAUAUUGUGAUGGAGGGACGCAGAAGGGUAUGCGCGCGGACGAACGGAAGUGUCCGUAGAAGUAUGUAGGAUGACUUGAUAGGAAAAUCCAUUGAGUUAUAUCUGAGGUAUGAUAUACAGUCGUAAGAUGAAUGCGCAAAUCCCACGCUGCCAAGAAAAGCUUCUAACGUUAAUAUUUGACUGCCCGUACUGCAAACCGACACAGGUGGUCAGGAUGAGAAAUCUAAGGCGGACAGGCUAACUCUCGUUAAGGAACUCUGCAAAAUAACCUCGUAACUUCGGGAGAAGAGGAGCCCUUGAGGGUCAGUAUCCACGCGAUACAAAGCGCUCGAGGGUCGCAGUGAAGAGGCUCAAGCAACUGUUUAACAAAAACACAGGUCUAUGCUAAGCUGGAAGGCGAUGUAUAUGGGCUGACACCUGCCCAGUGCUGGAAGGUUAAGAGGAGGAGUGAGAGCUCCGAAUUGAAGCCCCAGUGAACGGCGGCCGUAACUAUAACGGUCCUAAGGUAGCGAAAUUCCUUGUCGGGUAAG